rnacentral:rRNA from 1 species
AUACGUAGGGGGCGAGUGUUGUCCGGAAUGAUUGGGCGUAAAGGGCGCGUAGGCGGCCUGGUAAGUCUGAAGUGAAAGUCCCGCUUUCAAGGUGGGAAUUGCUUUGGAUACUGUCGGGCUUGAGUGCAGGAGAGGUAAGUGGAAUUCCCAGUGUAGCGGUGAAAUGCGUAGAGAUUGGGAGGAACACCAGUGGCGAAGGCGACUUACUGGACUGUAACUGACGCUGAGGCGCGAAAGUGUGGGGAGCAAACAGGAUUAGAUACCCUGGUAGUCCACACUGUAAACGAUGAAUGCUAGGUGUAGGGGGUAUCGACCCCUUCUGUGCCGCAGUUAACACAAUAAGCAUUCCGCCUGGGGAGUACGGCCGCAAGGUUGAAACUCAAAGGAAUUGACGGGG